rnacentral:rRNA from 1 species
CCUACGGGCGGCAGCAGUGGGGAAUCUUGCACAAUGGGCGAAAGCCUGAUGCAGCAACGCCGCGUGAAGGAAGAAGGGUUUCGGCUCGUAAACUUCUAUCAACAGAGACGAAAGAAAUGACGGGACCUGGAUAAGACGCCCCGGCUAACUACGUGCCAGCAGCCGCGGUAAUACGUAGUGGUCAAGCGUUAUCCGGAAUUACUGGGUGUAAAGGGUGAAUAGACGGCAUGGUAAGCCUGAUGGGAAAGCCUUGGGCUUAACCCGAGGAUUGAAUUUGGAACUAUCGAGCUAGAGUCCAGGAGAGGAGAGAGGAAUGCCGUGUGUAGCGGUGAAAGGCGUAGAUAUGAGGAAGAACACCAGUGGCGAAGGCGGCUUUCUGGACUGAAACUGACGCUGAGGCUCGAAAGCGUGGGGAGCGAACAGGAUUAGAUACCCGUGUAGUC